GACGAACGCUGGCGGCGCGCUUAACACAUGCAAGUCGAACGGAAAGGCCUGCUUUCCCUUGUGGAUUGCGGGUACUCGAGUGGCGAACGGGUGAGUAACACGUGAGUGAUCUGCCCCCAACUUGGGUAUAAGCCUGGGAAACUGGGUCUAAUUCCCGAUAGGACUGCAGGGUGGUGCCUGUGGUGGAAAACGAUUUUCUAGUGGUUGGGGAUGAGCUCGCGGCCUAUCAGCUUGUUGGUGGGGUAAUGGCCUACCAAGGCGGCGACGGGUAGCCGGCCUGAGAGGGUGGACGGCCACAUUGGGACUGGGAUGCGGCCCAGACUCCGACGAGAGGCAGCAGUGGGGAAUAUUGGACAAUGGGCGGAAGCCUGAUGCAGCGACGCCGCGUGGGGGAUGACGGCCUUCGGGUUGUAAACUCCUUUCGACCGCGAGGAAGCCACCUGGUUGGAAGGGUGGUGACGGUAGUGGUAGAAGAAGCACCGGCUAACUACGUG
rnacentral:rRNA from 1 species